rnacentral:rRNA from 1 species
UGGGGGAUAUUGCACAAUGGGCGAAAGCCUGAUGCAGCGACGCCGCGUGGGGGAUGAAGGCCUUCGGGUUGUAAACUUCUUUUGCUCUGAACAAGGCAUGCUAAUGGGUGUGUUGAGUGUAGGGGUUGAUUAGCGCCGGCUAACUACGUGCCAGCAGCCGCGGUAAUACGUAGGGCGCGAGCGUUGUCCGGAAUUAUUGGGCGUAAAGGGCUUGUAGGUGGCUGGUUGCGUCUGUCGUGAAAGCUCAUGGCUUAACUGUGGGUUUGCGGUGGGUACGGGCUGGUUUGAGUGCAGUAGGGGAGGCUGGAAUUCCUGGUGUAGGGGUGGAAUGCGCAGAUAUCAGGAGGAAUACCGGUGGCGAAGGCGGGUCUCUGGGCGGUUACUGACACUGAGGAGCGAAAGCAUGGGGAGCGAACAGG